rnacentral:rRNA from 1 species
AUUGAACGCUGGCGGCAUGCUUUACACAUGCAAGUCGAACGGUAACAGGCCGCAAGGUGCUGACGAGUGGCGAACGGGUGAGUAAUGCAUCGGAACGUGCCCAGUCGUGGGGGAUAACGCAGCGAAAGCUGCGCUAAUACCGCAUACGAUCUAUGGAUGAAAGCGGGGGACCGUAAGGCCUCGCGCGAUUGGAGCGACCGAUGUCAGAUUAGGUAGUUGGUGGGGUAAAGGCUCACCAAGCCGACGAUCUGUAGCUGGUCUGAGAGGACGACCGGCCACACUGGGACUGAGACACGGCCCAGACUCCUACGGGAGGCAGCAGUGGGGAAUUUUGGACAAUGGGCGCAAGCCUGAUCCAGCAAUGCCGCGUGCAGGAAGAAGGCCUUCGGGUUGUAAACUGCUUUUGUACGGAACGAAACGGUCCUGGUUAAUACCCGGGGCUAAUGACGGUACCGUAAGAAUAAGCACCGGCUAACUACGUGCCAGCCGCCGCAGUAAGAC